GACGAACGCUGGCGGCGUGCUUAACACAUGCAAGUCGAACGGAAAGGCCCUGCUUUUGUGGGGUGCUCGAGUGCGAACGGGGGGGGAACACCUGGGUUACCCCCCCCUUACCUUGGGGUUACAUCAGGGAACCGGGGGUUAUAACGGCUAAGAGUCUCUUGCGCCUGGUGGGGGGUUGGAAAAUUCGGCGGUUGGGGAUGGACUUGGGGCUUAUCAGGUUGUUGGUGGGGUAGGUGCGUACCAAGGCUUUUCCGGGUAGCCCGCCUGAGAGGGGGACCGGCCACAUUGGGACUGAGAUACGGCCCAGACGCCUACGGGAGGCAGCAGUGGGGAAUAUUGCACAAUGGGCGGAAGCCUGAUGCAGCAACGCCGCGUGCGGGAUGACGGCCUUCGGGUUGUAAACCGCUUUCGCCUGUGACGAAGCGUGAGUGACGGUAAUGGGUAAAGAAGCACCGGCUAACUACGUG
rnacentral:rRNA from 1 species